GAUGAACGCUGGCGGCGUGCCUAAUACAUGCAAGUCGAGCGAACGGACGAGAAGCUUGCUUCUCUGGUGUUAGCGGCGGACGGAUGAGUAACACGUGGAUAACCUACCUAUAAGACUGGGAUAACUUCGGGAAACCGUAGCUAAUACCGGAUAAUAUUUUGAACCGCAUGGUUCAAAAGUGAAAGACGGUCUUGCUGUCACUUAUAGAUGGAUCCGCGCUGCAUUAGCUAGUUGGUAAGGUAACGGCUUACCAAGGCAACGAUGCAUAGCCGACCUGAGAGGGUGAUCGGCCACACUGGAACUGAGACACGGUCCAGACUCCUACGGGAGGCAGCAGUAGGGAAUCUUCCGCAAUGGGCGAAAGCCUGACGGAGCAACGCCGCGUGAGUGAUGAAGGUCUUCGGAUCGUAAAACUCUGUUAUUAGGGAAGAACAUAUGUGUAAGUAACUGUGCACAUCUUGACGGUACCUAAUCAGAAAGCCACGGCUAACUACGUG
rnacentral:rRNA from 1 species